rnacentral:rRNA from 1 species
UACGGAGGGUGCAAACGUUGCUCGGAAUCAUUGGGCGUAAAGCGCACGUAAGCGGCUCCUCAAGUCGGAUGUGAAAGCCCUGGGCUCAACUCAGGAAGUGCAUCCGAAACUGUGGAGCUUGAAUGCCGGAGGGGCCCAGAGAAUUCCCGGUGUAGAGGUGAAAUUCGUAGAUAUCGGGAGGAAUACCAGUGGCGAAGGCGCUGGGCUGGACGGUCAUUGACGCUGAGGUGCGAAAGCGUGGGGAGCAAACAGG